rnacentral:rRNA from 1 species
CGCUAGCUACAGGCUUAACACAUGCAAGUCGAGGGGCAGCAUGGUCUUAGCUUGCUAAGGCCGAUGGCGACCGGCGCACGGGUGAGUAACGCGUAUCCAACCUGCCUUACACUCUUGGACAGCCUUCUGAAAGGGAGAUUAAUACAAGAUGUUAUCAUGAGUAAGCAUUUUCGCAUGAUUAAAGGUUUACCGGUGUAAGAUGGGGAUGCGUUCCAUUAGAUAGUAGGCGGGGUAACGGCCCACCUAGUCUUCGAUGGAUAGGGGUUCUGAGAGGAAGGUCCCCCACAUUGGAACUGAGACACGGUCCAAACUCCUACGGGAGGCAGCAGUGAGGAAUAUUGGUCAAUGGGCGAGAGCCUGAACCAGCCAAGUAGCGUGAAGGAUGACUGCCCUAUGGGUUGUAAACUUCUUUUAUAAAGGAAUAAAGUCGGGUAUGCAUACCCGUUUGCAUGUACUUUAUGAAUAAGGAUCGGCUAACUCCGUGCCAGCAGCCGCGGUAAUACGGAGGAUCCGAGCGUUAUCCGGAUUUAUUGGGUUUAAAGGGAGCGUAGAUGGAUGUUUAAGUCAGUUGUGAAAGUUUGCGGCUCAACCGUAAAAUUGCAGUUGAUACUGGAUAUCUUGAGUGCAGUUGAGGCAGGCGGAAUUCGUGGUGUAGCGGUGAAAUGCUUAGAUAUCACGAAGAACUCCGAUUGCGAAAGCAGCCUGCUAAGCUGCAACUGACAUUGAGGCUCGAAAGUGUGGGUAUCAAAACAGGGAUUAGAUACCCUGGUAGUCCACACGGUAAACGAUGAAUACUCGCUGUUUGCGAUUAUACUGCAAGCGGCCAAGCGAAAGCGUUAAGUAUUCCACCUGGGGAGUACGCCGGCAACGGUGAAACUCAAAGGAAUUGACGGGGGCCCGCACAAGCGGAGGAACAUGUGGUUUAAUUCGAUGAUACGCGAGGAACCUUACCCGGGCUUAAAUUGCAGAUGAAUUACGGUGAAAGCCGUAAGCCGCAAGGCAUCUGUGAAGGUGCUGCAUGGUUGUCGUCAGCUCGUGCCGUGAGGUGUCGGCUUAAGUGCCAUAACGAGCGCAACCCUUGUUGUCAGUUACUAACAGGUUCUGCUGAGGACUCUGACAAGACUGCCAUCGUAAGAUGUGAGGAAGGUGGGGAUGACGUCAAAUCAGCACGGCCCUUACGUCCGGGGCUACACACGUGUUACAAUGGGGGGUACAGAGGGCCGCUACCACGCGAGUGGAUGCCAAUCCCAAAAACCUCUCUCAGUUCGGACUGGAGUCUGCAACCCGACUCCACGAAGCUGGAUUCGCUAGUAAUCGCGCAUCAGCCACGGCGCGGUGAAUACGUUCCCGGGCCUUGUACACACCGCCCGUCAAGCCAUGGGAGCCGGGGGUACAAGAAGUGCGUAACCGCGAGGAGCGCCCUAGGGUAAAACUGG